ACAGGAGAACAGGCGGCCGCUGACGGGCUUUUCGCCCGUUGGAGGAAAGUCCGAACACCACAGGGCAGGGUGCUCCGUAACGCGGAGUCGCGGCGACGCGAAGGAAAGUGCAACAGAGAGCAGACCGCCUUGCGGCUUUAAGCCGCAGGGUAAGGGUGAAACGGUGCGGUAAGAGCGCACCAGUUCUCCGGGCGACCGGGGAAGCUAGGUAAACCCCACCCGGUGCAAGACCAAAUAGGAGGGCGUCACGAGGCCGGCCCGGCCCAUGCCCUCGGGUAGGUCGCAAGAGGCUCGCGGGCAACCGCAGUCCAAGAUGAAUGGCCGCCGCCCGCUUCACGCGGGAACAGAAUUCGGCUUACGUUCCCCUGUCCCC
rnacentral:RNase_P_RNA from 1 species